GACGAACGCUGGCGGCGUGCCUAAUACAUGCAAGUAGAACGCAGUUGCGAAAGGGUGAGUAAAGCGUAGGUAACUGCCUCAUAGCGGGGGAUAACUAUUGGAAACGCUAGCUAAUAUCGCAUACUGUGAGAUGGAACUGCGUUGAAUUAGCUUGUUGGUGAGGUAAAGGCACACCAAGGCGACGUUACAUAGCCGACCUGAUAGGGUGGACGGCGAUACUGGGGAUGAGCCCCGGCCCAGAGUCCUACGGGAGGCAGCAGUAGGGGAGCUUCGGCAAUGGACGGAAGGCUGACCGAGCAACGCCGCGUGAGUGAAGAAGGUUUUCGGAUCGUAAAGCUCUGGUUUUAGAGAAGCGGUACCUAACCAGAAAGGGACGGCUAACUACGUGCCAGCAGCCGCGGUAAUAC
rnacentral:rRNA from 1 species